AACGAACGCUGGCGGCAGGCCUAACACAUGCAAGUCGAACGCUCGUAGCAAUACGAGAGUGGCGGACGGGAGAGAAACGCGUGGGUAUCUACCUAGCAGUACGGAAUAACCGCGGGAAAC
rnacentral:rRNA from 1 species